AGACCAUUAGCUCAGUUGGUUAGAGCGUCGUGCUAAUAACGCGAAGGUCGCGGGUUCGAUCUCCUCAUGAGCUA
rfam:Trachymyrmex cornetzi contig33641, whole genome shotgun sequence.